GAUGAACGCUAGCGGCAGGCCUAACACAUGCAAGUCGAGGGGGAGACGGAGCUUGCUCCUUUGAGACCGGCGCACGGGUGCGUAACGCGUAUGCAAUCUACCUUUUACAGAGGGAUAGCCCAGAGAAAUUACGAUUAAUACCUCAUAGUAUAUAUCAUUCGCAUGUUUGGUAUAUUAAAGUUCCAACGGUAAAAGAUGAGCAUGCGUCCCAGUAGUUAGUUGGUAAGGUAACGGCUUACCAAGACGAUGAUGGGUAGGGGUGCUGAGAGGGAGAUACCCCCCACUGGUACUGAGGCGCGGACGAGACUCCUCCGGGAGGUGGCAGUGAGGAAUAUUGGUCAAUGGACGCAAGGCUGAACCAGCCAUGCCGCGUGCAGGAAGACGGUCUUAUGGAUUGUAAACUGCUUUUGUACGGGAAGAAACGCUCCUACGUGUAGGAGCCUGACGGUACCGUAAGAAUAAGGAUCGGCUAACUCCGUGCCAGCAGCCGCCGUAA
rnacentral:rRNA from 1 species